UGUUGUGAAAUGUAGACGCUCAACGUCUGCACUGCAGCGCGAACUGGUUUCCUUGAGUACGCACAAAGUGGGCGGAAUUCGUGGUGUAGCGGUGAAAUGCUUAGAUAUCACGAAGAACUCCGAUUGCGAAGGCAGCUCACUGGAGCGCAACUGACGCUGAAGCUCGAAAGUGCGGGUAUCGAACAGGAUUAGAUACCCUGGUAGUCCGCACGGUAAACGAUGGAUGCCCGCUGUUGGUCUGAAUAGGUCAGCGGCCAAGCGAAAGCAUUAAGCAUCCCACCUGGGGAGUACGCCGGCAACGGUGCAACUCAAAUGAAUUGACGG
rnacentral:rRNA from 1 species